rnacentral:tRNA from 1 species
UGAGUGUAUAGCUUAAUUUGGAUAAAGCUUUAAACUUUUAAUUUAAUAAUUUUAGGUUCAAAUCCUAAUACACUCAG